CCGCUUAUAUCUGUCUCUUCAGUCUAGAUCACCAUGGACCAUCUAUAUUCUGGUAAUUUUAUUCAGUUCUUAAUUUAGUGUUAAUUGUUACAAUAUAUAAUUAUACAAAAGAAUUCAAUCGCACCUAAAAAUCUUAUUCGUCAAGAAGCUUAUUUGAAAUGAAGUUUAUAUAACUCACAAAAACAGUUUUUGGCCCUCAAACACUGAAAAUGGUGUGAUGUAUUUGGAUGUCUAAAUGUUGCGAGCGCUAUUGCCCAGAGCAAAUUAUAUAUACUUUCUAUAUGGUUAAUGAAUCUGAUUGAAAUGGUUAUGAUGUCUCUUUGCAAUUUUAUAUUAAAUUGCCUUAUUUAAUGUCAAUUAGUUCAUUUUGACGAUAUUAGAUCCGACUAACUUUUUCUAUAGAUCUGAUGGAAUAGGUUAUGAUGCCCUAUUGCAUUUUUAUAUUACAUGGACUUAUUUAACAUUAAGUAUUUCAAAUUGCUCUUGUUUGUUUGUGACAAUCUAUCUUCAGAGAUUUUGAUUAUGAAAAAAUUACUGAAAAAUGUACUGAGAUAUACUAUAUAAAUGUGAAAGAAUCUUUAUGGGUCUAAAAAAGGAAAGGAAAGAGUCAAUGUCAAUAAUUGGGGGAAGUAUUUAUAUAGAAUCUCACUCUAUAUAUAUUUGUUAUUGUAUAUCUUGUGGCACUUAUUUUUCUGUGAAUGCACAACAAUUAUGAAUGUGUCUUUAUAUUGCUAUAUAUCAAUAAAUUUUAGUGGUAUGGAACAUAGACAACUUUGAUUAUAGCUUUAAAUUUUGUCAGUUAUCAAAAAUUAUGAAUACGUCUUUUUUUAUAUUGAUCUUGUUUUUUUGUCAACCUAUCUUCACUGAUCUUGAUUAUAAAAAAAUUACUCAGAAAUGUACUUACUUGCCUUGAACCUUUUAAAUGUGAGAGAAUCUUUAUGGUUCUGAGAGGAAAAAAAACGGCCAAUGUCAAUAAUUGGGGAAUUAAGAAUAUAGUCCUUCUCUAUAUAUGUAUGUAUAUGUAUGUGUGUGUGUGUGUGUGAAUGUAUGUAUGUAUUUGCUAUUGUAUAUCUUGUGGCACGUACUGUUGGAAUACACAUCAAUUAUGAAUGUGUCUUUCUAUUGCUAUGUAACAGAAAUUUUAAUGGUACAGAACCUAGACAACUUGAUUAUUGCUUUAAAUUUUUUUAAUUGAAAAAUUGAUGGUUCUUGCUAUUCGACAGAGACUGAGGACCCUCCAUGGCAUCAACAAAUUAAUGAUAUGAUUCCCUGGUCGUUGUUCAUAGCAUUUCAAAAUUUGGUACAUAGUUUAUCUACUUGCUUCUCAUGGUGUAUAUAUUUCCUUACAUGAGGUUUACAUUGUACUGAUUUUUCUAAUAUCUUUUUGUACUGUUUUUCUUACGUCUAAUAAUAUAACAUGCUCUCAUUUUCCUUACUUUUUACUUUUGUAAUGCCUCUACUAUGAGAAUUUUACAUAUGCUUUUUUUAUCGGAGUUAAAUGUUGUAUGCAAAAUGUCUUAGGGUUGGACAUAUAGUUGAGGGUAGACAAGAGACUUAUUUUACUAUGGGAUUCACCGCUAUCUAAUAAUAUGGCAUGCAAAAUGAACAACCUAAGGUAGAAGCUGCUACUCUACCGUGGUCCACACAAAAAGUAAUGAUGUUUAUAAUUUUGGAGCAAUGUUCGUGCCAAAAUUAUUAACAUGGAAUUUUUAGUUCAUGAAAUUUUAGUAGAAGAUUUAUAUGUAUUAUAUAAUAUAUAUAUAUAUGUUAUGUAUAUUUCUAACAAGAGGGAAAUUAUAUAUAUAGGAAGAUAGGAAAUGAAUCGAAUAACACUACAAGCUACCUUAGUUGUAUUCAAAUAAAAAGGCUAGUAAGUUGAUCAAAAUUAGAUAAUCCUCAUAGAAGAUUGAUUGUAUAGUUAUUUCUUUGCAUUUUGGAAUAAACUCAUUCCUACCAACUUCAAUUCUUAAACAUGUUUAUAUUUUUGUAUGUUUUCUACGACUAGAUUGUUACCCGACAAAAAUAUUAGAGCUUAUGAAUGUCCUGGGGUAACUGUUAGUCAAAAAGGUCCUCACCCACCCACUCCACUACCAAUUAUUUUUUCCUUCACCAACUCCACUCCACCACCCUUGUGUUUUUUAUUCCCACCCACUUACUCAUCUUCUCUUUUUCUUCAGCUAUAAAAGGGCAGCAAUGCUCAAAGGAAAAUACACCAAAGUUUCAUACUCCAUCCGAGAGUUUAAGGAGAGAAGGAGAGAAAAAAAAGCUUCUGUGAAGCUUUAGAUAAUAGAGAGAGAAAGGUAGUUCAAAUAAAAGGGAGUUUUAUUUGGGUUCCAUCACAUAGCUAUUGUGAUGAAGUAAUUUGGGUUUGUACUCAAAUUAAGAUAUCUUUGUAUUCUCUCAUAUUAUUCUAGUAAAUUCUUCGGAGUUUGUCCCGUGGUUUUUACCUCUUAGUUUUAGAGGGUUUUCCACGUAAAAUUCUUGGUGUCUCGUGGUUUGAUAUUUUCUACUUAUUAUUUCCUGCAGUGGUUAUUAUUUUGGUGGAGUUGCAGAUUUAUUCUGUUUGGCUUAUACUGAUAUUAUUAUCCGUCUAAUUUAUCAAAGACAACAGUAUUUGGGUGGUGUUUUUCCCAACAGCAACAAUGUACCAAGCUGCAAGAGCCAUCUUCAGGUUUGUUUCAAACCUUUUUACUCCUUGUAUUUCAUUAUUGGUCUAAAUAAAUUUGAAGGGAUCUAAUUAAGAAUAUUUUGGAAGCGUUUUGUAGUCCUUGUGCUACUUAUUUAUUGCUCAAUUAAUUAACUCCAUUUUGAUCACAUAAAGAAACUUUUUGAAAUGAGUAUAUAGGUAUCAUCACAAAUUUUAGGAUAUUUUUGUUUGAAUAUGAACUGUGAUCAUUUGUUGCCCUUAAUUCCAAAUUGAGUAAAACAAUCAACUGUGAGUUGAAGUAAUAAAUGGAGGGCCACAAAUUUAACCCUCCCCAAUUUGAUUGGAUUCAAAGCUGAUGAACUGUUAUUGACCAAAAAUGAGAAUUUUUACUUCGGACAUACUAAAAAAUUAAAAGCUUUAUUAAUUUGUAGUUAUUGAAAAAUGAAAACAUUUUUUCUGCAAUCAGCCAUCUCUCUAGUACAAGAUUUUGCAUAAGUUUCAGUGAAAACAAGAUCAAUUAAAAUUAAUGUUGUGCAUAGAGGUGAUUUAAUUGCCACAAAUGUUAUGGAGACUUGCAAUAGAGAAUGGCCUUAUGAAGUCAUUAAUAGGGAAAUGUAUGAUAUAUUUCAAUUGGGUUGAACUUUUUUCUUAUGCUUUAAAAUUUUACCUGAAGUGAAAUAUCCAUCUGAUUAAGUGUUUAUUCAGUAUUCUGAUCCUUGUUUAUUGUGUUGGUGUUUUAUUUCACGUAACCUAAGGAGCAUUUGGGGAUCAUAUUUUGGGAUCAUAUUUUUUGUGAGGCGACAAACCAUGGUUUGAGCAAGUCUCAUGUUUAAGCACUUAUAUUAGAAAAGUCGAGAUCAUCAACUCAUUUGGUGCACCAGAGGAAGUAGUUAUUUAUUGGAACAAAAACUCGACGAGAAUGCUUAAGAACAUCAGACUGCUACUUGAGAUAAUUACUUUCUUCCGAAAGCCUCUCCAAAUGUUGCCAUAUCGUUCCCAGAAUGUGAAGCACCAGAGCCAUUUUGGCUCAAGCAUUGCCCAUCCUUGGAAUCACUACGAAGUUUGGAAGAGCAAGAAGAAUUUGAGCCUUCUCGGAGGAAUUUAUUUUGAACCUUCAAAACCUCAGCUUUAUUACAACCUCAAACUCUCUCUUCACAUCUUCUUUCAAGGGGUGGUUCAAGGCCAUGUAGGGACAGAAAAUUUUGGUGCAAAGACAUUAGGACUCCCAAAGCUGCACAGAGGCAUCUUCUUCAAGGGAUGGUUCAAAGCCUAGAAGGGAUAGAAUUUUGGUACAAAACCAUUUUGGCUGCCAAAACUACAGUGCUCCUACAAGUUAUGUGGCUCCGCGUGAAAACAUAGGGUAAAAAAUACUGAAAGAGGCAGAAAUAUUAUUGUGAAUGAAGAUUUCCAGUCAUGGUAAUGUAACAAGGAAACGAGGCAUGAAGAUCGUUGUUCAUGGCAUUUCAGAUGUAAUUCAUGAAGUAUAUUUUGUCAAUAAAGAUAUGGUUUAGAUGAUAGAGUGAGCUUAAUAAUUAUUGUUCUAUCUCAUGAAUGUUUUGUUUUCAUUUUUUGAACUGUGUUUUAGUAUUCCUAUAUAUUAAAAUUUUGUCGUCAUUCUUACUUCGGCUCAUGUUUUAGAAUUCAUUUUCUAGAUGAUAGAUUUUGGUGAAACUGUUGUCAAAGUUAGUAAACCAACUAGUCUAU
rnacentral:lncRNA from 1 species